rnacentral:rRNA from 1 species
GACGUAGGGCGCGAGCGUUGUCCGGAUUUAUUGGGCGUAAAGAGCUCGUAGGCGGCUUGUCGCGUCGUCCGUGAAAACCUGUGGCUCAACUGCAGGCUUGCGGUCGAUACGGGCAGGCUGGAGUUCGGUAGGGGAGACUGGAAUUCCUGGUGUAGCGGUGAAAUGCGCAGAUAUCAGGAAGAACACCCGUGGCGAAAGCGGCUCUCUGGAACGGUACUGACGCUGAGACGCGAAAGCGUGGGGAGCGAACAGG